rnacentral:rRNA from 1 species
AACGAACGCUGGCGGCAGGCCUAACACAUGCAAGUCGUACGAUCCUUUUAGGAUAGUGGCGUACGGGUGAGUAACGCGUGGGAAUCUACCUUGAAGUGGGGAAUAACCUUUGGAAACGAAGGCUAAUACCGCAUACGCCUUUUAGUGGUGACACUAAGAGGGAAAGCAUUUGCGCUUUAAGAUGAGCCCGCGUUGUAUUAGCUAGUUGGUGGGGUAAGAGCUUACCAAGGCGACGAUACAUAGCUGGUCUGAGAGGACGAUCAGCCACACUGGAACUGAGACACGGUCCAGACUCCUACGGGAGGCAGCAGUGGGGAAUAUUGGACAAUGGGGGCAACCCUGAUCCAGCCAUGCCGCGUGAGUGAAGAAGGCCCUAGGGUUGUAAAGCUCUUUCAGUCGUGAAGAUGAUGACGGUAGCGACAGAAGAAGCCCCGGCUAACUCCG